rnacentral:rRNA from 1 species
UACAGAGGUCUCAAGCGUUGUUCGGAUUCAUUGGGCGUAAAGGGUGCGUAGGCGGCGCGGUAAGUCGGGUGUGAAAUCUCGGAGCUUAACUCCGAAACUGCAUUCGAUACUGCCGUGCUUGAGGACUGGAGAGGAGACUGGAAUUUACGGUGUAGCGGUGAAAUGCGUAGAUAUCGGGAAGAACACCCGUGGCGAAGGCGGUUCUCUGGGACGGUACUGACGCUGAGACGCGAAAGCAUGGGGAGCGAACAGG